ACUGAUCAACAGGACUACAUAUCCCGGCAUGCAUCCGUCUUUGAGGCGGCUCGAGGCCGGAGCCAGAAAUUAAGUCCUCUUGCAGCCGGGACUGCGCGUCUGAAGGUGCUGCCGGCGUCAAGAGCGUGCAGGUUCGAAUCCCGACCUGGGAGUGGGGUCUGGAGACAGCUGCAGAGCCUGUCCCACUGAUGCAUCCUCGACUCAUCUAUUUCUGCUCUGCAGGUAUCACCAUGUACAUUAAAUAUUUGCACAGUUCAUAAACAUUCUGUUCUGGACAACUGAAUUGCAGACGGUCCUUUCUGUGUUGGUAUUCUACAUUGCAUGUUUUGUCAGUUAUCUUACAGCACCCAGAUUGUUACAAUCUAUUGUCAUUUAAAAAGUGACUUUCUGUUUUAGCCAUGAGGAUAUUAUAUAUACAUAUUUACCCAAACUAAACACAAAACUGUGUGUGAAGUUGAACAACUAAUAAAAAUGAAUCUUAUUCUUAAUGGUUACUGUAAAUGAUUUCAAUCAUGUCCCUUAUGAUUCUAAGUCACAUUAUAUUAAGGAAAAUAAUUUUUUAAUGUACAAUGUUUACAAAU